GAGAGUUUGAUCCUGGCUCAGGACGAACGCUGGCGGCGUGCUUAACACAUGCAAGUCGAACGGUAAGGCCCCUUCGGGGGUACACGAGUGGCGAACGGGUGAGUAACACGUGAGCAACCUGCCCUUGACUCUGGGAUAACAGUUGGAAACAGCUGCUAAUACCGGAUACGACCUUCGAUGACAUCAUCUGGAGGUGGAAAGCGCUUUAGCGGUCAAGGAUGGGCUCGCGGCCUAUCAGCUAGUUGGUGAGGUAACGGCUCACCAAGGCUUCGACGGGUAGCCGGCCUGAGAGGGCGACCGGCCACACUGGGACUGAGAUACGGCCCAGACUCCUACGGGAGGCAGCAGUGGGGAAUAUUGCACAAUGGGCGCAAGCCUGAUGCAGCAACGCCGCGUGCGGGAUGACGGCCUUCGGGUUGUAAACCGCUUUCAGUUCCGACGAAGCGCAAGUGACGGUAGGAACAGAAGAAGGACCGGCCAACUACGUGCCAGCAGCCGCGGUGAUACGUAGGGUCCGAGCGUUGUCCGGAAUUAUUGGGCGUAAAGGGCUUGUAGGCGGUUUGUCACGUCGGAAGUGAAAACUCAGGGCUUAACCCUGAGCCUGCUUCCGAUACGGGCAAACUAGAGGAAUGCAGGGGAGAAUGGAAUUCCUGGUGGAGCGGUGGAAUGCGCAGAUAUCAGGAGGAACACCGGUGGCGAAGGCGGUUCUCUGGGCAUUUCCUGACGCUGAGAAGCGAAAGCGUGGGGAGCAAACAGGCUUAGAUACCCUGGUAGUCCACGCCGUAAACGUUGGGCACUAGGUGUGGGGCCUUAUCAACGGGUUCCGUGCCGUAGCUAACGCAUUAAGUGCCCCGCCUGGGGAGUACGGCCGCAAGGCUAAAACUCAAAGGAAUUGACAGGGGCCCGCACAAGCGGCGGAGCAUGUUGCUUAAUUCGAUGCAACGCGAAGAACCUUACCUGGGUUGAACUACGCAGGAAAAGCCACAGGUGCUGCAUGGCUGUCGUCAGCUCGUGUCGUGAGAUGUUGGGUUAAGUCCCGCAACGAGCGCAACCCUCGACCCUAGUUACCAGCGGGUAAAGCCGGGCACUCUAGGGUGACUGCCGGUGCCAAACCGGAGGAAGGUGGGGACGACGUCAAGUCAUCAUGGUCCUUACGUCCAGGGCUACACACGUGCUACAAUGGGCGGGACAAAGGGUUGCAGAGCCGCAAGGUGAAGCCAAUCCCGUAAACCCGUCCUCAGUUCGGAUUGUCGUCUGCAACUCGACGGCAUGAAGCUGGAAUCGCUAGUAAUCGUGGAUCAGCUACGCCACGGUGAAUACGUUCCCGGGCCUUGUACACACCGCCCGUCACGCCAUGGAAGCUGCGAGCGCCCGAAGUCCGUGCCGGAACCUGGGCAACCAGGACCAAGCGGCCGAAGGCGAGCGUAGUGACUGGGGCGAAGUCGUAACAAGGUAGCCGUAG
rnacentral:rRNA from 1 species